AGAUUAGAAAUGAAUCUGAAUGUGAUAAUAAGAGGGUCAAGACAUCAUCGAUUUGAAAAGGGAAGUCACCACAAAAGAUUCAAUCCUAUGUAUGAUGCGAGUUAAAUUAUGAAAUAAGUUUGUAUUUGUAGGUGACUGGAGCUUAUUUUGCUUAUGAAAAUUUGGAUCAUAAAAUAAAAGAUUGCCCUUUGGACAAGAAGAAAGAAUCACUGCCUCAUAAAUCAUCAGCCC
rnacentral:lncRNA from 1 species